UACGAAGGGGGCUAGCGUUGUUCGGAAUUACUGGGCGUAAAGCGCACGUAGGCGGAUAUUUAAGUCAGGGGUGAAAUCCCGCAGCUCAACUGCGGAACUGCCUUUGAUACUGGGUAUCUUGAGUAUGGAAGAGGUUAGUGGAAUUGCGAGUGUAGAGGUGAAAUUCGUAGAUAUUCGCAGGAACACCAGUGGCGAAGGCGGCUAACUGGUCCAUUAACUGAC
rnacentral:rRNA from 1 species